rnacentral:rRNA from 1 species
UACGGAGGGUGCAAGCGUUAUCCGGAUUCACUGGGUUUAAAGGGCGCGUAGGUGGGCAGGUAAGUCAGUGGUGAAAUCUCCGAGCUUAACUCGGAAACUGCCGUUGAUACUAUUUGUCUUGAAUAUUGUGGAGGUAAGCGGAAUAUGUCAUGUAGCGGUGAAAUGCUUAGAUAUGACAUAGAACACCAAUUGCGAAGGCAGCUUACUACACAAUGAUUGACGCUGAGGCACGAAAGCGUGGGGAUCAAACAGG